rnacentral:rRNA from 1 species
UACGUAGGGGGCCAGCGUUGUCCGGAAUCAUUGGGCGUAAAGCGCGCGUAGGCGGUCAGGUAAGUCCGGUGUGAAAGUCAAAGGCUCAACCUUUGAAUGCCGCUGGAUACUGCCUGACUUGAGUCCGGAAGGGGCGAGUGGAAUUCCUGGUGUAGCGGUGAAAUGCGCAGAUAUCAGGAGGAACACCGGUGGCGAAGGCGGAUCUCUGGGCCUUACCUGACGCUGAGGCGCGAAAGCUAGGGGAGCGAACAGG